GAGAGUAUAGCUCAGUGGUAGAGUGUGUGCUUAGCGCGUGCACGAGGUCCUGGGUUCAAUCCCCAGUACCUUCA
rnacentral:tRNA from 1 species